ensembl:misc_RNA 7SK 7SK RNA
GGGUGUGAGGGCGAUCUGGCUGCGGCAUGUGUCACCCCAGUGAUCGCCAGGGUUGAUUCGGCUGCUCUGGCUGGCUAGGCGGGUGUCCCCUUCCUCCCUCACCGCUCCAUGUGCGUCCCUCCCGAAACUGCAUGCUUGGUGUUCAGGCCUUCCCUGAACAGAGACGGACCCCCUUCGGUCAAGGGUAUACAAGUAGCCACGCUCCCCUGCUAGAACCUCCAAACAAGCUCUCAAGAAAUAUAAAAUAGGGGGUCGGGCGGUAGCACAUCGGGUUAAGCACACAUGGUGUGAAGUGCAAAGACCAGUGU